UACGUAGGGUCCGAGCGUUGUCCGGAAUUAUUGGGCGUAAAGGGCUCGUAGGCGGUCUGUUGCGUCGGGAGUGAAAACUUACAGCUUAACUGUGAGCGUGCUUUCGAUACGGGCAGGCUAGAGUUCGGGUAGGGGAGACUGGAAUUCCUGGGUGUAGCGGGUGAAAUGCGCAGAUAUCAGGAGGAACACCGGUGGCGAAGGCGGGUCUCUGGGCCGAUACUGACGCUGAGGAGCGAAAGCGUGGGGAGCGAACAGG
rnacentral:rRNA from 1 species